rnacentral:misc_RNA from 1 species
GACGGGGGGGGCAAGCGUUGUUCGGAAUUACUGGGCGUAAAGGGCGCGCAGGCGGCCUGGGAAGUCUUUGGUGAAAGCCCCCAGCUUAACUGGGGAAGUGCCUGAGAAACCACUAGGCUUGAGUGCUGGAGAGGGAAGUGGAAUUCCCGGUGGAGCGGUGAAAUGCGUAGAUAUCGGGAGGAACACCAGAGGCGAAGGCGACUUCCUGGACAGACACUGACGCUGAGGCGCGAAAGCUAGGGGAGCAAACGGG